rnacentral:lncRNA from 1 species
ACUUUCCAGAAUUCAUUUUAAGGAAGUUCACAUUUUUGAAGUUGCUAAUAGUAACUCCUAGAGCUGGGCAAUAGGAAUGCAGUCGAUUCCAUCCGCAAACUAGAUCUCAAAUUUUGUAACCAUAGCCGUGAAUGCAGUCAUAGUAGUGUGGGGCAGAUGCUGUAAAAGUAACAAAGCCUAAAAUUGAUCCACAAGGGAAAAGAAACAGGUUAGCAUUGUCAAACAAACUGGCACCUCCACUUGCUGUGCAAUUUCAAUUACAGGUUGGUAAAGAUUGUUGGAAACUCUCAAGAGUUCAUGACAGUCACAGUUAUUGCACUUUAACUAUUUAUACCUUUGAAAAAAUUCUUUUAAACUUUUUUUUUAAAAGGUAAGUCUUUCAUUAAUCAAUCAGGGAGUUGGAUGUUCCCUGUUAAUCUAUACGAAACAGAAUCCCAACUUUUGGGGAGUUAUAACACGGACCCUACCAUCAUAACAAGCCAAAGGAGGGCAGCAUUUGUUAUACACACACAUGGAACAAAAAACAGAGACUAACACCCAGGGAGCAAAAAGCACGGCUCAGCCUAGAUUAACUAUGCAUCAACCAGACUUUAAACAAAAUUUGCCUAUAUGGACAGUAAUAGAUUUAGCUUAAACUUAUCACCUAAAAGAAUUUAAAACAGUAAGUUUUCUCUUUACCUAAAGAAAUAAGGCCAAAAAAAAAAUGUUAACUCCUUUGCUGUCCUCCUGUCACAAUCCUCUAUAGUGAUCUCUUGUCACCAUGAGUAGGAGCGAAAGAACUCUGGGUAAUAUUUCCUGCAACAAGACAGAGGAUCACUCGACAACUUGCGGAAAGCGAUAACAACAGUUACUGCUAUUGUAAGAAACUAAUGACCACAUUUCCUCAGCUUACGUUGCCAAACAAAAGUGAACAACUAAACUGACACGCGAGGUUUUGAUUUUCUUGAUGACUGCUUAGGUGAUUGUUUGAAUAAGGAUGGUUUGGAAGUUGGCUAAUGCCCUGUCUGCAUGUUAUUCAACCAAGUAAUCAAUCUCAGCUUAAGUUAACUCUCUUUGGUGAAAAUUUAUCAAGGGAAAAGAGAAGUCUUGCAGGAUAUCAUAGCUAAAGGAACGGACAUUAUUUUGUCUUCAAGAAAGAGUAGGGAAAAAGUGAAAAGCACCCUUAAACUGAUGGACCUGUUGAAAUACUGGUUUGCAUAGUGAUCAAAGUAGAUAAAUUCAACUAUCAUUACGAGAGUGAUAACUGAUAGUACUUCUUUCACAUGGUAAUUUGACAACAAUAAAUUCAUUGGUUAGAGAAUGUUAUAAUUAAGUGUAACAAAAGUCAAGCACAAGUGGUAGAAAAAGUACCGUAAACAAGGAAUCAGUCAGGUCACGCUUCUGAAUAUAACUGAAUGUAACCUGUAGAGAAGUUUGUGUGUCAUUCCCUCAAUUCGUCAGAAAGAACUCCAAUGGCUUCCCUUCAAUGGCUCAAAGAAAGCUGCA